rnacentral:rRNA from 1 species
AUGGCUCGGGCUCUCCUCAAGCAGCGAGGGAUGCCGGCUGUUUUCUGGGGAGAGGCGGUGCUGACGGCCGUCUACAUCCUCAACCGCUCGCCUACUAAGGCACUCGACGGCAGGACACCGUAUGAGGCCUGGCAUGGGCGGAAGCCGGCGGUUUCCCAUUUGCAGGUCUUUGGCUGUCUUGCGUUCGCUAAGGAGCUUGGCCACAUCGGCAAGCUCGACGACAGGAGCACUCCGGGAGUCUUCAUCGGCUAUGCGGAGGGCUCAAAGGCCUACCGCAUCCUCGACCCAAAGACACAGCGUGUGCGCACGGCGCGAGACGUUGUGUUCAAUGAAGGGCGAGGGUGGCAAUGGGACAAGGCGGUGGACGACGGCGCGACGCCGAUGUAUGACGACUUCAUUGUCGAGUACGCUCACUUCAAGGAAGCCGGGGGAGCAAGCAGCUCCUCUCCGCCGGGCACGUCUACCCCGGCCCCCAAAACUACAUCGACUCCGGUGCCCGCUACGCCGACGACACCACAACUGGCGACGCCGCAUACUCCAGCCCCGGCAGUCACCACUCCGGGUUCGUCUUCAUCAGCACCAACUCACGCAGAGCACAACCCGAUGAAGUUCGCUUCCCCGCUCACUCACAACGAGGAGCGGGUCGACGCGUGGUAUGGAGGCGAACAGCUGCGGUAUCGCACGAUGGAUGAUCUACUCGGUGACCAGCCGGUGCCGGGAUUGAUGCCACGUGACCUAGAGGCGCAGCUACAACUCGCGUGUGAGGACGGCGAACCACGGUCCUUUGCAGAGGCCGAGAGAGAUGCGGCAUGGCGCGCCGCGAUGCAGUUGGAGAUGGAUGCGGUCGAGCAAAACCGCACCUGGGAGCUCGCUGACCUCCCUCGUGGUCACCGCGCAAUCACCCUUAAGUGGGUGUUCAAGCUGAAGAGGGAUGGAGCCGGCGCCAUCAUCAAGCACAAGGCUCGUCUGGUGGCCCGAGGCUUCUUGCAGCAGGAAGGAGUCGAUUUCGACGACGCCUUCGCUCCCGUGGCACGAAUGGAGUCUGUGCGACUCCUCCUUGCGCUGGCUGCCCAGGAGGGCUGGCGUGUCCAUCACAUGGAUGUCAAGUCGGCAUUCCUCAACGGUGACUUGAAGGAGGAAGUCUACGUGCAUCAGCCACCGGGUUUUGCGAUUCCCGGCCAGGAGGGUAAGGUACUCCGCCUGCGCAAGGCCCUCUAUGGCCUACGGUAG